GCUGGGCAUGGUGGCGCGUGCCUGUAAUCCCAGCUACUCAGGAGGCUGAGGCGGGAGAAUUGCCUGAACCCAGGAGGUGGAGGUUGCAGUGAGCCGAGAUUGCGCCAUUGCACUCCAGCCUGGGUAACAAGAGCAAAACUCCGUCUCAA
ensembl:misc_RNA Metazoa_SRP Metazoan signal recognition particle RNA